rnacentral:rRNA from 1 species
UACAGAGACCUCAAGCGUUAUCCGGAAUCAUUGGGCGUAAAGCGUACCGAUAGGUGGUUUAGAUAGUUUUGGGUAAAAGCCAGAAGCUUAACUUCUGCGUUUGCUCAAAAUACUUCUCAACUAGAGGGACAAAGAGGUGGCUGGAACGAACGGUGUAGUAGUGAAAUGCGUAGAUAUCGGGAGGAACACCUGAGGCGAAGGCGGGCUACUGGGCCGAUACUGACGCUGAUGCGCGAAAGCCAGGGGAGCAAACGGG